AAGUCGUAACAAGGUCUCCGUAGGUGAACCUGCGGAAGGAUCAUUACCGAGUUAGGGUCCUCUGGGCCCGAUCUCCCAACCCUUUGUUUAUUAUACCUUUUGUUGCUUCGGCGAGCCCGUUGUCUCACGACGACCGCCGGAGGACCGCUUAACGGCGUCCUCUGGUCCGCGCCCGCCGAUGGCCCCAAAAUCUCAAAAUUCUUGUAUGAAUCGUGUCUUUACCUAAGUCUUGAUUUAAUCAAAAACAAAACUUUCAACAACGGAUCUCUUGGUUCUG
rnacentral:misc_RNA from 1 species